rnacentral:misc_RNA from 1 species
CGCUGUUUUCUCAUUAAAAAUGCGAAGGUGAUUGCAGCUUUCUUUUAUGUUUCGCUGGGACAAAGUUUCCGCUUUCAACAAUAGAUGGAGGCACUAUCGAUUUUUGCGUGAAGGUUCCCAGGAAGCCUCACCGUGGAUAUUGUCAGUAGCCCAGUGGUGAAAAACAACUUACGGCUGCAAAACUGGACAAGCGCGGCUGGGGAAACAUUAUACAGGAAAAGCGUAUUUACAGUUUAAGUGCAAAAUGUGAGAAUUGUCUGCCGAGUAGGUUUUGAUUUGUUCUUGUGUGUGAGUUCUAGGAACUGUUUAUAACCAGACGAUUUUUCUCGAAGGAACACCGCAACUCGCAUGUGGGACCUUAUGUAACAAAGAUCGAAUGUUUGUGGAGCAAGCUCCGUCCUUAGGGUCCGGUGCAAAACUUUUCUCCAGCGCAGAAUACAGGAGUGUGUGGUGCAUUUUGGAGAAUUAGCUAAUCAAAUUCUGAAUAUUUUGCAAGUGAUUUGGUUUCUGAAGGACGAAAUUUUGGAAUUAGAGAAGCUCAUUCGAUAAUGCCUUUAAUGUUGGAGGAAGAAUUUGCCACAGCUGUUAUCUGGUACAAUCCAAAAUAACCAUUGUUUUUAUUGUAAAAAAAAAAAGGAUUGCAACACAUUGGUAUGUCAAAUCACUAGCAUACAGAUCAUUACUAGAAGGCUCAUGAGUUGGAUUUUUUUUAUUACUUCUCUGUUCCUUUGGGAUAGGGAAUAAAUGUAUUGGGGAUAAUGAAUAGGAAUAAAUGUAUUUGAGUUU